AGAGAGAGAGCCAGUGGAGAGAGAGCAGCUUGAAAAAAGUUUAUAAACCAGAAACUUCACCCAGCGCACAUUACCGGAGGAAUCUGAUCAGAAAUCGGCAACAAAUGAUGAACAUCUGCAGUCCAGAUUCCAGGUUUUCCUGAUGGUUUUACUCAGGUAAAUAAUGCUAUUUAUAUCUCUGUUAGUUAGCUCAGUGUUUACCUCAUGCAUCAACUCUGUAAACCGUAAACACACACUCUGUUUUACGUCUGUCUUUACAGGUCCAUCUGUGAGAAAUGACCGACAGAAUCAUCCCAGAGGAGAGCAGACAGCUGAGAGCA